rnacentral:tRNA from 1 species
GGAGGGAUGGCCGAGUGGUCGAAGGCGCACGACUCGAAAUCGUGUAGGCCCCCAAAAGGUCUCGAGGGUUCGAAUCCCUCUCCCUCCGCCA